rnacentral:rRNA from 1 species
UACGUAGGGCGCAAGCGUUGUCCGGAAUUAUUGGGCGUAAAGAGCUCGUAGGCGGCCUGUUGCGUCCGCUGUGAAAUCCCGGGGCUUAACCCCGGGCGUGCAGUGGAUACGGGCAGGCUGGAGGCAGGCAGGGGAGAACGGAAUUCCCGGUGUAGCGGUGAAAUGCGCAGAUAUCGGGAGGAACACCGGUGGCGAAGGCGGCUCACUGGACAAUAACUGACGCUGAUGCACGAAAGCUAGGGGAGCAAACAGG